rnacentral:rRNA from 1 species
GACGAACGCUGGCGGCAUGCCUAAUACAUGCAAGUCGAGCGAAUGAAUGUUGGAGCUUGCUCCUUCAUUCGUUAGCGGCGGAUGGGUGAGUAACACGUGGGCAACCUGCCCUGUAGAUUGGGAUAACUCCGGGAAACCGGAGCUAAUACCGAAUAAUUAGUACGUCCGCAUGGACAUACUCUAAAAAGACGGUUCACGCUGUCACUACAGGAUGGGCCCGCGGCGCAUUAGCUAGUUGGUGGGAUAAUGGCCUACCAAGGCAACGAUGCGUAGCCGACCUGAGAGGGUGAUCGGCCACACUGGGACUGAGACACGGCCCAGACUCCUACGGGUGGCUG